rnacentral:rRNA from 1 species
GAUGAACGCUGGCGGCGUGCCUAACACAUGCAAGUCGAGCGAACGGACGAGAAGCUUGCUUUUCUGAUGUUAGCGGCGGAUGGGUGAGUAGCACGUGGAUAACCUAUCUAUAAGACUGGGCUAACUUCGGGAAACCGGAGCUAAUACCGGAUACUAUUUUGAACCGCAUGGUUCAAAAGUGAAAGACGGUCUUGCUGUCACUUAUAGAUGGAUCCGCGCUGCAUUAGCUAGUUGGUAAGGUAACGGCUUACCAAGGCAACGAUGCAUAGCCGACGUGAGAGGGUGAUCGGCCACACUGGAACUGAGACACGGUCCAGGCUCCUACGGGAGGCAGCAGUAGGGAAGCUUCCGCGAUGGGCGAAAGCCUGACGGAGCAACGCCGCGUGAGUGAUGAAGGUCUUCGGAUCGUAGAACUCUGUUAUUAGGGAAGAACAUAUGUGUAAGUAACUGUGCGCAUCUUGACGGUACCGAAUCAAAAAGCCACGGCUAACUACGUG